GACAGAGGUGCCAAGCGUUAGGCGGAAUCACUGGGCUUAAAGCGUGUGUAGGUGGAUGCCUAAGUACCUUGUGAAAUCCCACGGCUCACCCGUGGAACUGCUUGGUAUACUGGGUGUCUUGAGCCACUUAGGGGUCGCUGGAACAAACGGUGGAGCGGUGAAAUGCGUAGAUAUCGUUUGGAACGCCAAUGGUGAAAACAGGCGACUGGGAGUGUGCUGACACUGAGACACGAAAGCCAGGGGAGCGAACGGG
rnacentral:rRNA from 1 species